rnacentral:rRNA from 1 species
GACGAACGCUGGCGGCGCGCUUAACACAUGCAAGUCGAACGGAAAGGCCUGCUUUCCCUUGUGGAUUGCGGGUACUCGAGUGGCGAACGGGUGAGUAACACGUGAGUGAUCUGCCCCCAACUUGGGUAUAAGCCUGGGAAACUGGGUCUAAUUCCCGAUAGGACUGCAGGGUGGUGCCUGUGGUGGAACACGAUUUUCUAGUGGUUGGGGAUGAGCUCGCGGCCUAUCAGCUUGUUGGUGGGGUAAUGGCCUACCAAGGCGGCGACGGGUAGCCGGCCUGAGAGGGUGGACGGCCACAUUGGGACUGAGAUACGGCCCAGACUCCUACGGGGGGCAGCAGUGGGGAAUAUUGCACGAGGGGGGGAAGCCUGAUGCAGCGGCGCCGCGUGGGGGAUGACGGCCUUCGGGUUGUAAACUCCUUUCGACCGCGAGGAAGCCACCUGGUUGGAAGGGUGGUGACGGUAGUGGUAGAAGAAGCACCGGCUAACUACGUG